rnacentral:misc_RNA from 1 species
GUGAAUCAUCGAAUUUUUGAACGCAAAUUGCACUCUCUGGUAUUCCGGAAAGUAUGCCUGUUUGAGGGUCAGUUAAAAUAAAAACGGGGGUGUUGGUGCUUUUCGGGGUGAAGGGACGGGAUUGAGUUGGCUUAGCUUUGGUUAAGUGAAUCAAAAUUUUGCAUGAUUUUUGAAGGAAUUUAAAUAUCGU